rnacentral:rRNA from 1 species
GACGAACGCUGGCGGCGUGCCUAAUACAUGCAAGUCGAACGCUUCUUUCCUCCCGAGUGCUUGCACUCAAUUGGAAAGAGGAGUGGCGGACGGGUGAGUAACACGUGGGUAACCUACCCAUCAGAGGGGGAUAACACUUGGAAACAGGUGCUAAUACCGCAUAACAGUUUAUGCCGCAUGGCAUAAGAGUGAAAGGCGCUUUCGGGUGUCGCUGAUGGAUGGACCCGCGGUGCAUUAGCUAGUUGGUGAGGUAACGGCUCACCAAGGCCACGAUGCAUAGCCGACCUGAGAGGGUGAUCGGCCACACUGGGACUGAGACACGGCCCAGACUCCUGCGGGAGGCAGCAGUAGGGAAUCUUCGGCAAUGGACGAAAGUCUGACCGAGCAACGCCGCGUGAGUGAAGAAGGUUUUCGGAUCGUAAAACUCUGUUGUUAGAGAAGAACAAGGACGUUAGUAACUGAACGUCCCCUGACGGUAUCUAACCAGAAAGACACGGCUAACUACGUG